CCUACGGGAGGCAGCAGUGAGGAAUAUUGGUCAAUGGCCGCAGGGCUGAACCAGCCAAGUCGCGUGAGGGAUGACGGUCCUAUGGAUUGUAAACCUCUUUUGUCAGGGAGCAAAGGGCGCCACGUGUGGCGCUUUGCGAGUACCUGAAGAAAAAGCAUCGGCUAACUCCGUGCCAGCAGCCGCGGUAAUACGGAGGAUGCGAGCGUUAUCCGGAUUUAUUGGGGUUAAAGGGUGCGCAGGCGGAAUGUCAAGUCAGCGGUAAAAUUUCGGGGCUCAACCCCGUCGUGCCGUUGAAACUGGCGUUCUUGAGUGAGCGAGAAGUAUGCGGAAUGCGUGGUGUAGCGGUGAAAUGCAUAGAUAUCACGCAGAACUCCGAUUGCGAAGGCAGCAUACCGGCGCUCAACUGACGCUCAUGCACGAAAGCGUGGGUAUCGAACAGGAUUAGAUACCUGGGUAGUC
rnacentral:rRNA from 1 species